CUUAGUAACGGCGAGUGAAGCGGUAAAAGCUCAAAUUUGAAAUCUGGUACUUUCAGUGCCCGAGUUGUAAUUUGUAGAAUUUGUCUUUGAUUAGGUCCUUGUCUAUGUUCCUUGGAACAGGACGUCAUAGAGGGUGAGAAUCCCGUUUGGCGAGGAUACCUUUUCUCUGUAAGACUUUUUCGAAGAGUCGAGUUGUUUGGGAAUGCAGCUCAAAGUGGGUGGUAAAUUCCAUCUAAAGCUAAAUAUUGGCGAGAGACCGAUAGCGAACAAGUACAGUGAUGGAAAGAUGAAAAGAACUUUGAAAAGAGAGUGAAAAAGUACGUGAAAUUGUUGAAAGGGAAGGGCAUUUGAUCAGACAUGGUGUUUUUUGCAUGCACUCGCCUCUCGUGGGCUUGGGCCUCUCAAAAAUUUCACUGGGCCAACAUCAAUUCUGGCAGCAGGAUAAAUCAUUAAGAAUGUAGCUACUUCGGUAGUGUUAUAGCUUUUUGGAAUACUGUUAGCCGGGAUUGAGGACUGCGCUUCGGCAAGGAUGUUGGCAUAAUGGUUAAAUGCCGCCCGUCUUGGAAACACGGA
rnacentral:rRNA from 1 species